rnacentral:rRNA from 1 species
UACAGAGACUGCAAGCGUUAUUCGGAUUCACUGGGCGUAAAGGGUGCGCAGGCGGCCAAGUGUGUGAGGCGUGAAAGCCCGGGGCUUAACCCCGGAAUUGCACCUCAAACUACAUGGCUAGAGCAUUGGAGAGGGUGAGCAGAAUUCAUGGUGUAGCAGUGAAAUGCGUAGAUAUCAUGAGGAAUACCAGAGGCGAAGGCGGCUACCUGGACAAUUGCUGACGCUCAGGCACGAAAGCGUGGGGAGCAAAAGGG